rnacentral:lncRNA from 1 species
GCAUUUGAAAAACUUCACUGCCCAGAAGCAGAUGGCCAAGUUAUUGUGAUUGAAGGCAUUCCAGGAAACAGGAAACAGUGGCGGCAUGAAGCUCCAGGAACUUUAAUGAGUGUUUUGGCAGCAGCACAUCUAACGAGUAGCUCAUUUUCUGCCGAUGAAGAAUUUGCAAUGGGAACAUUAAAACAAUGGCUACCCAAAGAAGAAGAUGAAGGGAAGGUAGAAAUGGUCUCUGG